AACGAACGCUGGCGGCAGGCUUAACACAUGCAAGUCGAGCGCCCCGCAAGGGGAGCGGCAGACGGGUGAGUAACGCGUGGGAAUCUACCCAUCUCUACGGAAUAACGCAUGGAAACGUGUGCUAAUACCGUAUACGUCCUUCGGGAGAAAGAUUUAUCGGAGAUGGAUGAGCCCGCGUUGGAUUAGCUAGUUGGUGGGGUAAAGGACUACCAAGGCGACGAUCCAUAGCUGGUCUGAGAGGAUGAUCAGCCACACUGGAACUGAGACACGGCCCAGACUACUACGGGAGGCAGCAGUGGGGAAUAUUGGACAAUGGGCGCAAGCCUGAUCCAGCCAUGCCGCGUGAGUGAUGAAGGCCCUAGGGUUGUAAAGCUCUUUCACCGGUGAAGAUAAUGACGGUAACCGGAGAAGAAGCCCCGGCUAACUUCGUGCCAGCCGCCGCGGUAACAC
rnacentral:rRNA from 1 species